rnacentral:lncRNA from 1 species
CACCCAUACCUGCUCCACAAUUAAAAUCUCUAUACUCAUAUCUGUCUCGAGUUGAGAAAGGAACUCAUCAUGUACAUAUUGUAAAAUAAUUAUCAUUUUGAAAGAAGGAUUUAGAUUAAGGUUGCGUUGGGUUGCGGAGCAUAUUAUUAUCCAUAUAUGACUAAAAUCUAUUUUGAAUAUUUUUUCUAAAAUUUAUAUCUGUUCCAGAUUUAAAUUGGAUCAGAUAAAAUCUAUUUUAUUCAGA